rnacentral:rRNA from 1 species
ACGUAGGGUCCGAGCGUUGUCCGGAGUUACUGGGCGUAAAGCGCGCGCAGGCGGCUCGGCAAGCAUGGCGUGAAAGCCCCCGGCUCAACCGGGGAGAGUCGUCGUGGACUGCCGAGCUUGAGGGCGGCAGGGGUUGGUGGAAUUCCCGGUGUAGUGGUGAAAUGCGUAGAGAUCGGGAGGAACACCCGUGGCGAAGGCGGCCAACUGGGCCGACCCUGACGCUGAGGCGCGAAGGCGUGGGGAGCGAACAGGA